GACGAACGCUGGCGGCGUGCUUAACACAUGCAAGUCGAGCGGUAAGGCCCUUUCGGGGGUACGACGAGCGGCGAACGGGUGAGUAACACGUGGGUGACCUGCCCUCAGCUCUGGGAUAAGCCUGGGAAACCGGGUCUAAUACUGGAUAUGACUCCAUGACGCAUGUUGUGGGGUGGAAAGCCUUGUGCGGCUGAGGAUGGGCCCGCGGCCUAUCAGCUUGUUGGUGGGGUGAUGGCCUACCAAGGCGACGACGGUAGCCGGCCUGAGAGGGCGACCGGCCACACUGGGACUGAGACACGGCCCAGACUCCUACGGGAGGCAGCAGUGGGGAAGUCUUGCGCAAUGGGCGAAAGCCUGACGCAGCGACGCCGCGUGAGGGAU
rnacentral:rRNA from 1 species